rnacentral:rRNA from 1 species
AAGCCCAGCUUGCUGGGUGGAUUAGUGGCGAACGGCCUGCAGUAACACGUGAGCAACCUGCCCCUGACUCUGGGAUAAGCGCUGGAAACGGCGUCUAAUACUGGAUAUGUCCCGUCACCGCAUGGUGUGCGGGUGGAAAGAUUUUUCGGUUGGGGAUGGGCUCGCGGCCUAUCAGCUUGUUGGUGAGGUAAUGGCUCACCAAGGCGUCGACGGGUAGCCGGCCUGAGAGGGUGACCGGCCACACUGGGACUGAGACACGGCCCAGACUCCUACGGGAGGCAGCAGUGGGGAAUAUUGCACAAUGGGCGGAAGCCUGAUGCAGCAACGCCGCGUGAGGGAUGACGGCCUUCGGGUUGUAAACCUCUUUUAGCAGGGAAGAAGCGAGAGUGACGGUACCUGCAGAAAAAGCACCGGCUAACUACGUGCCAGCAGCCGCGGUAAUACGUAGGGUGCAAGCGUUAUCCGGAAUUAUUGGGCGUAAAGAGCUCGUAGGCGGUCUGUCGCGUCUGCUGUGAAAUCCCGAGGCUCAACCUCGGGCUUGCAGUGGGUACGGGCAGACUAGAGUGCGGUAGGGGAGAUUGGAAUUCCUGGUGUAGCGGUGGAAUGCGCAGAUAUCAGAGGAACACCGAUGGCGAAAGCAGAUCU